rnacentral:rRNA from 1 species
UACGAAGGGGGCUAGCGUUGUUCGGAAUCACUGGGCGUAAAGCGCACGUAGGCGGAUCUUUAAGUCAGGGGUGAAAUCCCGAGGCUCAACCUCGGAACUGCCUUGAUACUGGGGAUCUCGAGUCCGGGAGAGGUGAGUGGAACUGCGAGUGUAGAGGUGAAAUUCGUAGAUAUUCGCAAGAACACCAGUGGCGAAGGCAGCUCGCUGGGACGGUAUUGACGCUAAGGCGCGAAAAGCGUGGGGAGCAAACAGGG